UGUGGGAUGUGAAGGCCCAGCAAGUGGGGCCUGGGCCGACAGGCCGUUAGUUCAUGUAACCUCCCUUUGGCCUGCUCCGAGAAGAAAGCAUGUUCCUCAGACCGGAGGCCCUGGAUGGAGAGUCCUGAGGACUGCACCACCACAGAGGCUACAACCCUGGCUGCCCAGUCGGCUGCAUCCCAGGCCAUCCGUAGGGAGCCCUUUGUCACUGCUUUCCUCCGACCAGCUGUGAACUGAGAGCCUGACCGGGGUACUGCACCCACGCUGGAAUGGAAGGGGCUAAGGCCACGGUGUUAGCAAUGGAAGCCACAUUCCUCAACUAUGCUGGGUGGCUCCUGAGGACCACUGAGGAGGAAGGAUGCUCCUUGCCAGCUCCAGCCAAGGAGCAGCCAGGGCCAGACGCUUUCUCUGUUCCCACUAGCAAUCCAGUACCAUCCCUGUGCACGAACAGCAACGAUUUACAGGUAAGAACGGGAAAGUAUUUAAUGAACUUGUAGCCUUAAAAAAUACGAGUUAGCAGCUGGAAAGAAAGAGAGAGCAUGUGAGUGGCCAGAACGCCACAGACCACUAGCAAGUUCUCUGCACACCACCAUCCAGCAAUCCAUACGUCGCUUUGCAGACUGUAUUAUGGUGGAUGCAUCUUCACAGGGAGAGCCAUCAGGUCAACUUUUGUUAUUCAAGAGACAGACUUUGCUCAGAAGCACCUGAGUUUUAUGGAGCAACCUUUGUCUGGUGCCAUCCCUGUGCAAAAGAGCAAGCUGGGAUCAUCUCUGGGCACUGAGAGCAUAUGCACUCCAAUUUGCGCUAGAGAAGCCAGUGCCCAGGCUGUUGACUUCAUACAGACGUAGGGAUUGGGCAGAGCUGGGAAGCGUUUUUUGUCACUCGCAGCAUUUUUAUCGCCUCUUUUGCUUAAUGCUGGAGGUUUUGGGCUCCUUUAGCACAGCAAUCUCCCUGACAGAGGCAAAGGCUGAGGUGGUGGCUGGAUGCCAAUGAGGUACAAGCCAUUGGGAAGAGAGGUCAGUUGUUUGGUUCGAAGGCUGCAGCCUGUUGAUAGCGCUAUCACCAGAACAAUGCAGAGUCAUAAGACACUGUAGUCAAACAGCUGGAAAACUAAGCAGAGGUCAAUUAUUUUAUUGCCCCAUAGCUCCUCUCCCAGCCUAGCGAGCAGUAUUUGAAAAGGAUGAAGCUGGCUCGUAUAGUAACACAGCUGGCUGCUCCUCAGCCCUCCCUCAUUCUGUCUCUCAAGCAGCAAUCCCACAUUUACCUCUUUCCUGGUGUAGCCACACACACGGACACAGGCACACAAUAUAUACAUUUGGAUCCCGGAAUUGACACACUGCAAAGGAAGACAGCACCACUCAGAGAGGACGGUGCAUUCAGCAGCUGUCUAAAGAGAAAUCUCUUGACUUUCUGUUAAACUUGCAAUGUUUGUCUUUAUUUGUUCUUUAUCUUUUCAAAAUGAAAAUAGUCUUGAGUCAUUUUCUUUCUUUUGUUUAAAUAUUUGUCCUAUGUAUUUACAAGCCUUUAAGGUGUGUUCUAAAGGGUUUCAAAGUGUCACUAGUACUGCCCCCCCUCAGGGUAGCACUUUGUUUCGAAGGAGUUUUUCUUGGAGCACACUGGUCCAUAGCAUUUUCCCAAAUACAUUUCCUUCUGCUCCAAG